rnacentral:rRNA from 1 species
CAGCCGCCGCGGUAAUACGUAGGGUGCGAGCGUUAAUCGGAUUUACUGGGCGUAAAGCGUGCGCAGGCGGCCCGUUAAGACAGGUGUGAAAUCCCUGGGCUCAACCUAGGAAUUGCGCUUGUGACUGGCGGGCUCGAGUACGGUAGAGGGGGGUGGAAUUCCUGGUGUAGCAGUGAAAUGCGUAGAGAUCAGGAGGAACACCGAUGGCGAAGGCAGCCCCCUGGGCCUGUACUGACGCUCAUGCACGAAAGCGUGGGGAGCAAACAGGAUUAGAUACCCUGGUAGUCCACGCCCUAAACGAUGGGUACUAGCCGUUUGGUGCGCGAUAGCGCUGAGUGGCGAAGCUAACGCGUGAAGUACCCCGCCUGGGGAGUACGGCCGCAAGGUUGAAACUUAAAGAAUUGGCGG